rnacentral:rRNA from 1 species
CGUGAGAUGUUGGGUUAAGUCCCGCAACGAGCGCAACCCUUGCCAUUAGUUGCUACGAAAGGGCACUCUAAUGGGACUGCCGGUGACAAACCGGAGGAAGGUGGGGAUGACGUCAGGUCAUCAUGGCCCUUAUGGGUAGGGCUACACACGUCAUACAAUGGCCGGUACAGAGGCUGCCAACCCGCGAGGGGGAGCCAAUCCCAGAAAACCGGUCGUAGUCCGGAUCGUAGUCUGCAACUCGACUGCG